rnacentral:sRNA from 1 species
GCCGGGUGUGGUUGCACAUACCUGUAAUCCCAGUGGCUCCAGAGGCUGAGACGGGAGGAUCAUGAGUUCAAAGCCAGCCUCAGCAAAAAGUGAGGCCCUAAGCAACUCAGUGAGACCCUGUCUCUA